UGCAGUCGAACGGUAGCACAGAGAGCUUGCUCUCGGGUGACGAGUGGCGGACGGGUGAGUAAUGUCUGGGAAACUGCCUGAUGGAGGGGGAUAACUACUGGAAACGGUAGCUAAUACCGCAUAACGUCGCAAGACCAAAGAGGGGGACCUUCGGGCCUCUUGCCAUCAGAUGUGCCCAGAUGGGAUUAGCUAGUAGGUGGGGUAACGGCUCACCUAGGCGACGAUCCCUAGCUGGUCUGAGAGGAUGACCAGCCACACUGGAACUGAGACACGGUCCAGACUCCUACGGGAGGCAGCAGUGGGGAAUAUUGCACAAUGGGCGCAAGCCUGAUGCAGCCAUGCCGCGUGUAUGAAGAAGGCCUUCGGGUUGUAAAGUACUUUCAGCGGGGAGGAAGGUGUUGUGGUUAAUAACCACAGCAAUUGACGUUACCCGCAGAAGAAGCACCGGCUAACUCCGUGCCAGCAGCCGCGGUAAUACGGAGGGUGCAAGCGUUAAUCGGAAUUACUGGGCGUAAAGCGCACGCAGGCGGUCUGUCAAGUCGGAUGUGAAAUCCCCGGGCUCAACCUGGGAACUGCAU
rnacentral:rRNA from 1 species